GUACAGGUCAGCAACUUUUCCAGCACCAGGGAGUCAGGACAGAGGACUUUGUGCUUUUUGUUGUCCUGGAGAAUAAAAGCAGAAUUUUAUUUUAUUUUUACUUGUCUCUUUAUCUCCAAGGCUGCAGGUAACUCCUCCCUCGCUCGUGUACUGACCCAGUGCUGUCUCGAGGAAGAACACGGGGAUUCCACAAGUGGCAAGAAAUAUCAGGCUUACCUCCUCCAUUUUUAUAACAGAGGUAAGGAAAGCGCCACACGUUGCCUAGACCAAUGAUUUCUCCAGCUACAGAGAGCACAAACUCCAGUUUAUUGCUCCACUGGCCUCUGUCCUUCAUCUUCUCGUC